CCCAACCAGGCCACCCCAGGUGCCACCCCGAAGCUAAAACAAUAAAAUUCAAGUAAAUGUCAAAUGUACCAUUAUGUUUUCACAGUGCAGCUCAGAUAUCCGAGUGUAAGUGAAUGCAGCUUCAGCUUCUGUACUGUUUGUCGCGCUGUUGCACACACAGCACGUUGGUUUGUUUCAGUUUGUCAGUUGCCACAAGACAGCUCUCCAACGUGUACGUAAUAAGCUAAUACUCCUGUGUGCUAUACACUACAGUGUACGCUGUACACCUACUUACUGGUUGUGUCGCAUCAGUCUGUGUCUCUGAGUUAGUUUGUGUUUCUCCCCCUUUUUACUGCAACAGUGUCAGACACCCUCAUUUGAUUUUUUUGUGCUUUAUUUAUUUAGUCAUCUAAUGUGUUUUUUGAUUAAUGUGUGUUAGGGUAAUCGAGGUCUAUUAAUGUCAAAAACUCUGCCAGUAUGAUUUCAGUCAGUGUUUAAAUAAAUCCAUAAGCAGAUGAUAUGUUUAAGUUAAAACAGGCAGUGUUUUAAAAUGAUGGGACAGUGAUUGUGCUCAUAAAUACUGGGGUGAUUAUUAUUUACAGGAAUAUUAUAUGAAAUAUUUUAUUGAGCGACAUCAACGUGUUGUCAUACAGGAGAAAAGCUCCUCCUUCCAGCAGGAUCAAUGACGACAAGCUGCUCAGUGUCACAGAUGAAAGACCAACACGAACACUAACACACAAAGUCAGCGGGAAUCCUUGAAGAUCCUUCAAAUUAAAAGUUUUGCUUCACCAUUGCAAUCAGUAUGUUGCACGAGACGAAACUUUACUUUGAAGAACUGACAGUUUUACUUCCACAAUCUCUCCUCAACUUAGACGCAAUUGACUAACAACUAAUUGUCCCAACAGCAGCAGAGCACAGGUUUCACCAUCCCGGUGAGGAACACAUUUUUCGGUUGCUGUCAGAGGGUCUCUCAUCGAUCUGCUGCCCUGUGUAACUGGAGCGUUAGCGAUCAUUCUCCAGCAAAUAUUCACGAUUGGUCGGCAACUUUUCACACCAACUUUUGUACCACUCUGAUCUGAUCAGGACCCACAAAACUAGUAAUGGAUGUAACAUCAGUCUGCUGGAUUCUGCUGGCUACUUGUCUGUUCUCGAUCGUGUCUGCAGUUUUAGAGCAAAUCAUCACAAUGAAGCCUGGACAGGACGUCAAUCUGACAUGUGAAGCUCCAAACAAUAACAACAUCAUUAUUGUAGAGUGGAGCAGAGCUGACCUGAAGGAAGAUGAAUAUGUGCUUUUUUACCGGGACGGUCGGUUUCUUCCAGACAACCAGCAUCCAUCUUUUAAGAACCGGGUGGAUCUGCAGGACAGACAGAUGAAGGAUGGAGACGUGUCUUUGAUUCUGAACAAUGUGACGAUUAAUGACACUGGAACAUACGAGUGUCGUGUCUGGUUGGAAGAAACACGCUCAUUGGAGCUCAUAAACAGCACCAACUUGACUGUUGUUCCUCCAGGUCAGCCAAGAGGAGAUGGACAGGAUGGAGGAAAGGAGGCUGGAUCUGUUGGAAUGAUUGUUGGUCUGUCUGUUUUUGCGUUGCUUCUUGUUGCUGCUGUUGUUGGUUUUUUGAUGUACAGAAAACAUCAAGAACAAAAGAUACAGGAUUCCUACCAGCCUCCAGCUGAACAGCAGCCUGUUUGAAAUGUGUCAGAGCUUCUUCUUUUCCUCACCUGAUCUGUGAGUCUCUCUUUUGCUCCUGCAGCUUCUCAGAGGUGAUUCUGAGCAUUCAGGGUAAAGACGGUUGAGAAAUUUCUUUGGUGUAAAGCAUCAACAAACAGUCCAGCAGAUAUUUUCAGAUUUCAUGUUUAAACAUCUAUUACAGAGUUUUAAGAAGUGAAAACUGUCCCAAAGUUAAAGCUGUACCUUUAGCUUUUCACUGACUGCUCAUCCACUUUCAUGAACACCAGCUGAAGUCUUCAUAAGUUUGUCAGACCAAACUUGUCUUCAUACUGUGAGCUGUAGCUGUUACUUCCUGCUCUCGACCUCCUGCUGAGCUAACGUCUCUUUAACUUUACUUUUAAUAUCAAACUACCUGCUGCUUCACUUUAAACAGAUAAAACACUCAUGUUUAUAUCACAGAAGCUUUUAAUAUUUACUAUAUUCAGCUUUAAGCACUGCACGCACUUCUUAACUUUGUUAUUCUACACUGUAUGUAAUAUUUUUAUUUCUAUAAGUAAGAAUCACGUUCAGUUUUCUUUCUGCUUUAAUAGAAACUUUCUGACUUGUCCAAUAAGUUCGUGCAGAUUUCAGGGAGUUCUGAUUAAAAUGUUUUACUGUAAAAGUGCCUUCAGGUGGUUGUUGUUGUUUCCUGUGCUUUGAAUAGACUCAAUUUUUCUUUUAAAUCAGCAUCAAUCAAAUGACCGUAACCUUCCACCAGGGGGCACUUUAACAUACACAGACCUGUCUGUAACACAUUUACUGUAAGUUUUCUUAUGAAAAUUACUUCACCUGUAUGCUUAGAAGACACUCGAACACAUUGUACAGUAAGAGUUUAUUGGUGCUGUUAUUUUCUUUUACAUGGAAAAAUGUUUCUAUUUAAAAAUAUGAAUUCAUGUGACAAAUCCAUCUGUAGAUAUAAUGACUUUAUGUGUUAAUUUUCAGAUAUUAAAUCAUGUUCAUUGUAUCUCACAGUGACACACAGCUGUAAAAGCUUACAGGCAAACAUCACAUUCAUCAUCAGUGAUUCAUUCCUUUCUAAACUGUAAAUG
ensembl:lncRNA